rnacentral:tRNA from 2 species
GCCGAAGUGGUGGAAUUGGUAGACACGCAAGGCUCAGGACCUUGUGAGGGUCACACCUCGUGGGGGUUCGAAUCCCUUCUUCGGCACCA